CAUGCAGUCGAACGGUUUCGAUUUAUCGAGAUAGUGGCAAACGGGUGAGUAACGCGUAAGUAACCUGCCCCCAAGUAGGGGAUAACUCCGAGAAAUUGGAGCUAAUACCGUAUGUGGUGGUGAAGGUAAUGCUUCAUCACUAAAGCCUUCGGGCGCUUGGGGAGGGGCUUGUGUCCGAUUAGCUAGUUGGUAGGGUAACGGCUUACCAAGGCGAUGAUCGGUAGCUGGUCUAAGAGGACGGUCAGCCACACUGGAACUGAGACACGGUCCAGACUCCUACGGGAGGCAGCAGCAAGGAAUAUUGGGCAAUGGGCGAAAGCCUGACCCAGCGACGCCGCGUGGGGGAUGAAGGCCUUCGGGUUGUAAACCCCUUUUCCCAGGGAAGAACAAUGACGGUACCUGGGGAAUAAGUCUCGGCUAACUACGUGCCAGCAGCCGCGGUAAUACGUAGGAGGCAAGCGUUAUUCGGAUUUAUUGGGCGUAAAGAGGGCGUAGGCGGCUUUUCAAGUCAGAUGUAAAAUCUCCCAGCUUAACUGGGAGGGAUCAUUUGAAACUGUCAGGCUAGAGGGCAGCAGAGGGAGGUGGAAUUCCCGGUGUAGUGGUGAAAUGCGUAGAUAUCGGGAGGAACACCAGUGGCGAAGGCGGCCUCCUGGGCUGUUGCUGACGCUGAGGCCCGAAAGCGUGGGGAGCGAACAGGAUUAGAUACCCUGGUAGUCCACGCCGUAAACGAUGGACACUAGGUAU
rnacentral:rRNA from 1 species